rnacentral:rRNA from 1 species
AUGGGGGAGGUUGGUGCUGCAGACAUGAUCUACACCCAGGAUGGCACCGUGGACUUCAAGGGCAACCCGGCCCUCAAGAAGAGCACCGGCAACUGGCGCGCCUGCCCCUACAUCCUCGGGAACGAGUGCUGUGAGCGGCUGGCGUACUACGGCAUGAGCACCAACCUCGUCAACUUCAUGACGGACAAAAUGGGCAUGACCUACACCGCCGCCGCCAACGCCAACACCAACUGGGGUGGCACCUGCUACGCCACCACCCUCAUCGGCGCCUUCCUCGCCGACGCCUACCUCGGCCGCUUCCGGACCAUCGCCUCCUUCGUGAUCAUCUACAUCAUCGGGCUGGGGCUUCUGACGCUGGCGGCGUCCGUGAAAGGGCUGGUGCCGACGUGCGCGGCGAAGGGAGUGUGCGACCCGACGGCGGGGCAGACGGCGGCGGUGUUCGUGGGUCUGUACCUGGUCGCGCUGGGCACGGGCGGGAUCAAGCCCUGCGUGUCCUCAUUCGGGGCGGACCAGUUCGACGAGCACGACGACGGCGAGCGCCGGAGCAAGAGCUCCUUCUUCAACUGGUUCUACUUCUCCAUCAACAUCGGCGCGCUGGUGGCGUCGUCGGUGCUGGUGUACGUGCAGGAGCGCUUCGGCUGGGGCUGGGGCUUCGGCAUCCCCGCGGUCGUCAUGCUCACCGCCGUCGGCAGCUUCUUCGUUGGCACGCCGCUCUACCGCCACCAGCGCGCCCGCGGCAGCCCGCUCACCCGUAUCGCGCAGGUGCUCGUCGCGGCUACGCGCAAGUGGAGGGUCGCCGUCCCCGUCGACGCGUCGGCGCUCUACGAGAGGCCGGACAGGGAGUCCGGCAAGAUGGAGCACACCGAGCAGUUCAGGUUCCUCGACAAGGCGGCGGUGGAGAUGCCGGCCGACAGGGCAGCGAGCGCAUCGUCUGCGUGGCGGCUGUGCACGGUGACUCAGGCGGAGGAACUCAAGAGCGUGAUCCGGCUGCUGCCCGUCUGGGCGAGCGGCAUCGUGUUCGCGACGGUGUACGGGCAGUCGACCACCAUGUUCGUGCUGCAGGGCAACACCCUGGACGCCUCCAUGGGGCCGCACUUCUCCAUCCCCUCCGCCUCUCUCACCAUCUUCGACACCCUCAGCGUCAUCGCCUGGGUGCCCGUCUACGACCGCCUCCUCGUCCCGGCCGCCCGCUCCGUCACUGGUCACCCGAGCGGGUUCACCCAGCUCCCGCGCAUGGGCAUCGGCCUCGUCGUCUCCAUGUUCUCUAUGGUCGCCGCCGGUGUGCUCGAGCUCGUACGCCUCCGCGUCAUCGCUCGGCACGGGCUGUACGGGGAGCACGACGUCGUGCCCAUCUCCAUCUUCUGGAUGGUGCCGCAGUACUUUAUCGUCGGCGCUGCCGAGGUGUUCGUUUUCGUGGGGCAGCUCGAGUUCUUCUACGACCAGGCCCCCGACGCCAUGAAGAGCAUGUGCACGGCGCUGUCGCUGACAACGGUGGCGCUCGGGAACUACGUGAGCACGCUGCUGGUGACGGUGGUGGUCAAGGUGACGACGAGGGGUGGCAAGGAAGGGUGGAUCCCGGCCAAGAACCUCAACGUCGGCCACCUCGACUACUUCUUCUGGCUGAUGACCGUGCUCAGCGUCGUUAACUUUGCUAUCUAUCUGCCCAUCGCCAACUGGUACACCUACAAGAAGAGCGCCAAUGAAGGAGGUGAGUGA